rnacentral:lncRNA from 1 species
CUCGACGGGUGGAUUUGCACAAGUCACGCGGUUUAGUGUAGUGCCUUGAUCGAUCUCAAAAGUCUUGACGUACGUUGUGAUCUAUACGGCCGGUAGUUUGGUAUAUACGGAUGAACUUGGCCGGUCCGGGCCUCUCAUUUUCUCGAAAAUGGAAGUCUGAGGUCGUCUACCGUAAUCCUUCUCUCACCAGUCAACAGUCACCAGUCACCACUAGGUAAGGGUGGUGAGCCAUUGCAUAGCAAUGUCAAUACCGCGUAUGUUAUGUUUUUCUGGAGCAGUUCAAUAGCUGCCUGUGGAAAG